UAAGCGACUAAGCGUACACGGUGGAUGCCCUGGCAGUCAGAGGCGAUGAAGGACGUGCUAAUCUGCGAUAAGCGUCGGUAAGGUGAUAUGAACCGUUAUAACCGGCGAUUUCCGAAUGGGGAAACCCAGUGUGAUUCGUCACACUAUCAUUAACUGAAUCCAUAGGUUAAUGAGGCGAACCGGGGGAACUGAAACAUCUAAGUACCCCGAGGAAAAGAAAUCAACCGAGAUUCCCCCAGUAGCGGCGAGCGAACGGGGAGCAGCCCAGAGCCUGAAUCAGUGUGUGUGUUAGUGGAAGCGUCUGGAAAGGCGCGCGAUACAGGGUGACAGCCCCGUACACAAAAAUGCACAUACUGUGAGCUCGAUGAGUAGGGCGGGACACGUGGUAUCCUGUCUGAAUAUGGGGGGACCAUCCUCCAAGGCUAAAUACUCCUGACUGACCGAUAGUGAACCAGUACCGUGAGGGAAAGGCGAAAAGAACCCCGGCGAGGGGAGUGAAAAAGAACCUGAAACCGUGUACGUACAAGCAGUGGGAGCACAGAGCAAUCUGUGUGACUGCGUACCUUUUGUAUAAUGGGUCAGCGACUUAUAUUCUGUAGCAAGGUUAACCGAAUAGGGGAGCCGAAGGGAAACCGAGUCUUAACCGGGCGUUAAGUUGCAGGGUAUAGACCCGAAACCCGGUGAUCUAGCCAUGGGCAGGUUGAAGGUUGGGUAACACUAACUGGAGGACCGAACCGACUAAUGUUGAAAAAUUAGCGGAUGACUUGUGGCUGGGGGUGAAAGGCCAAUCAAACCGGGAGAUAGCUGGUUCUCCCCGAAAGCUAUUUAGGUAGCGCCUCGUGAAUUCAUCUCCGGGGGUAGAGCACUGUUUCGGCAAGGGGGUCAUCCCGACUUACCAACCCGAUGCAAACUGCGAAUACCGGAGAAUGUUAUCACGGGAGACACACGGCGGGUGCUAACGUCCGUCGUGAAGAGGGAAACAACCCAGACCGCCAGCUAAGGUCCCAAAGUCAUGGUUAAGUGGGAAACGAUGUGGGAAGGCCCAGACAGCCAGGAUGUUGGCUUAGAAGCAGCCAUCAUUUAAAGAAAGCGUAAUAGCUCACUGGUCGAGUCGGCCUGCGCGGAAGAUGUAACGGGGCUAAACCAUGCACCGAAGCUGCGGCAGCGACACUGUGUGUUGUUGGGUAGGGGAGCGUUCUGUAAGCCUGUGAAGGUGUGCUGUGAGGCAUGCUGGAGGUAUCAGAAGUGCGAAUGCUGACAUAAGUAACGAUAAAGCGGGUGAAAAGCCCGCUCGCCGGAAGACCAAGGGUUCCUGUCCAACGUUAAUCGGGGCAGGGUGAGUCGACCCCUAAGGCGAGGCCGAAAGGCGUAGUCGAUGGGGAACAGGUUAAUAUUCCUGUACUUGGUGUUACUGCGAAGGGGGACGGAGAAGGCUAUGUUGGCCGGGCGACGGUUGUCCCGGUUUAAGCGUGUAGGCUGGUUUUCCAGGCAAAUCCGGAAAAUCAAGGCUGAGGCGUGAUGACGAGGCACUACGGUGCUGAAGCAACAAAUGCCCUGCUUCCAGGAAAAGCCUCUAAGCAUCAGGUAACAUCAAAUCGUACCCCAAACCGACACAGGUGGUCAGGUAGAGAAUACCAAGGCGCUUGAGAGAACUCGGGUGAAGGAACUAGGCAAAAUGGUGCCGUAACUUCGGGAGAAGGCACGCUGAUAUGUAGGUGAAGUCCCUCGCGGAUGGAGCUGAAAUCAGUCGAAGAUACCAGCUGGCUGCAACUGUUUAUUAAAAACACAGCACUGUGCAAACACGAAAGUGGACGUAUACGGUGUGACGCCUGCCCGGUGCCGGAAGGUUAAUUGAUGGGGUCAGCGCAAGCGAAGCUCUUGAUCGAAGCCCCGGUAAACGGCGGCCGUAACUAUAACGGUCCUAAGGUAGCGAAAUUCCUUGUCGGGUAAGUUCCGACCUGCACGAAUGGCGUAAUGAUGGCCAGGCUGUCUCCACCCGAGACUCAGUGAAAUUGAACUCGCUGUGAAGAUGCAGUGUACCCGCGGCAAGACGGAAAGACCCCGUGAACCUUUACUAUAGCUUGACACUGAACAUUGAGCCUUGAUGUGUAGGAUAGGUGGGAGGCUUUGAAGUGUGGACGCCAGUCUGCAUGGAGCCGACCUUGAAAUACCACCCUUUAAUGUUUGAUGUUCUAACGUGGACCCGUGAUCCGGGUUGCGGACAGUGUCUGGUGGGUAGUUUGACUGGGGCGGUCUCCUCCUAAAGAGUAACGGAGGAGCACGAAGGUUGGCUAAUCCUGGUCGGACAUCAGGAGGUUAGUGCAAUGGCAUAAGCCAGCUUGACUGCGAGCGUGACGGCGCGAGCAGGUGCGAAAGCAGGUCAUAGUGAUCCGGUGGUUCUGAAUGGAAGGGCCAUCGCUCAACGGAUAAAAGGUACUCCGGGGAUAACAGGCUGAUACCGCCCAAGAGUUCAUAUCGACGGCGGUGUUUGGCACCUCGAUGUCGGCUCAUCACAUCCUGGGGCUGAAGUAGGUCCCAAGGGUAUGGCUGUUCGCCAUUUAAAGUGGUACGCGAGCUGGGUUUAGAACGUCGUGAGACAGUUCGGUCCCUAUCUGCCGUGGGCGCUGGAGAACUGAGGGGGGCUGCUCCUAGUACGAGAGGACCGGAGUGGACGCAUCACUGGUGUUCGGGUUGUCAUGCCAAUGGCACUGCCCGGUAGCUAAAUGCGGAAGAGAUAAGUGCUGAAAGCAUCUAAGCACGAAACUUGCCCCGAGAUGAGUUCUCCCUGACCCUUUAAGGGUCCUGAAGGAACGUUGAAGACGACGACGUUGAUAGGCCGGGUGUGUAAGCGCAGCGAUGCGUUGAGCUAACCGGUACUAAUGAACCGUGAGGCUUAACCU
rnacentral:rRNA from 1 species